rnacentral:rRNA from 1 species
CCUACGGGAGGCAGCAGUGGGGAAUAUUGGGCAAUGGGCGAAAGCCUGACCCAGCAACGCCGCGUGAAGGAAGAAGGCUUUCGGGUUGUAAACUUCUUUUGACAGGGAAGAGCAGAAGACGGUACCUGUCGAAUAAGCCACGGCUAACUACGUGCCAGCAGCCGCGGUAAUACGUAGGUGGCAAGCGUUGUACGGAUUUACUGGGUGGAAAGGGCGUGUAGCCGGGCUGACAAGUCAGAUGUGAAAUCCGGGGGCUCAACCCCCGAACUGCAUUUGAAACUGUUGGUCUUGAGUAUCGGAGAGGUAGGCGGAAUUCCUAGUGUAGCGGUGAAAUGCGUAGAUAUUAGGAGGAACACCAGUGGCGAAGGCGGCCUGCUGGACGACAACUGACGGUGAGGCGCGAAAGCGUGGGGAGCAAACAGGAUUAGAUACCCGAGUAGUC